GAUCCUGGCUCAGAUUGAACGCUGGCGGCAUGCCUUACACAUGCAAGUCGAACGGCAGCACGGGUGCUUGCACCUGGUGGCGAGUGGCGAACGGGUGAGUAAUACAUCGGAACAUGUCCUGUAGUGGGGGAUAGCCCGGCGAAAGCCGGAUUAAUACCGCAUACGAUCUACGGAUGAAAGCGGGGGACCUUCGGGCCUCGCGCUAUAGGGUUGGCCGAUGGCUGAUUAGCUAGUUGGUGGGGUAAAGGCCUACCAAGGCGACGAUCAGUAGCUGGUCUGAGAGGACGACCAGCCACACUGGGACUGAGACACGGCCCAGACUCCUACGGGAGGCAGCAGUGGGGAAUUUUGGACAAUGGGCGAAAGCCUGAUCCAGCAAUGCCGCGUGUGUGAAGAAGGYCUUCGGGUUGUAAAGCACUUUUGUCCGGAAAGAAAUCCUUGGUUCUAAUACAGCCGGGGGAUGACGGUACCGGAWGAAUAAGCACCGGCUAACUACGUGCCAGCAGCCGCGGUAAUACGUAGGGUGCGAGCGUUAAUCGGAAUUACUGGGCGUAAAGCGUGCGCAKGCGGUUUGCUAAGACCGAUGUGAAAUCCCCGGGCUCAACCUGGGAACUGCAUUGGUGACUGGCAGGCUAGAGUAUGGCAGAGGGGGGUAGAAUUCCACGUGUAGCAGUGAAAUGCGUAGAGAUGUGGAGGAAUACCGAUGGCGAAGGCAGCCCCCUGGGCCAAUACUGACGCUCAUGCACGAAA
rnacentral:rRNA from 1 species